GGCUUCGCGUCCCGCCUCUCGCCUGGCUGGCCGUGGGGGGCCUGGACGCAGUGGCCUCCCGAAUCUCCCAGGACCCUAAUAUCGCCCGAGGAUGCUGGGAGGAACGCUGAGCCGACCUCUCCGUUAGGCUGAAGAUUGCACAAACCAUGCUAAUGGCCAGCAUGGAUGGAGGGAGCGUGUGAGAUGUGUGGGGCAGCGUGCUGCAUCUCAGCCAACUCCAGGAGCCAGUUGAUGUGAUGGACUACCUUAAUUGAUUUUUGAAUGUUGAGCCAGCCUUAUGCAUGUGGGAUAAACCCCUGUUGAUCAUGGAGCUCCCAGGCCUCUACAGUUUGCUGGGUCCCAUUACUUUCUGAGACAGGUGAGAUGGAAACAAGUCUCUUGGGAAGGCUCCCAAAAAGCCCAUUGUCAUAGAAAGCACCUGGCUUCUAAUGUAAGUGUGAGAAUUGGAGAGAAAUAUCUUGGUAAAAGAUAGAAAUAGGAGAGAAAAAGUAUGUCAAAUUCCAGGUCUAAAUAGGGGGAUCUCUAUUGACUUUAUUCUGUGUUUUUCUCUAACAUACCAAUAUGAUUAAAGUAAUAACUUGCUUAACAGCAACUGGGUGUAAACACUGUUAUUUUUAUUUAUUUUCCAAAUGAGAUAAAAUCUGUCUUUGAGCUCUAAUGUGUCUAGUUGAAAAGAGAUUAAAUUUAUUGUUUAUUUAGGUUACUCUUGCCCAACUUCAUCAAAGUGGGGGCUGGGGUAAUGCUAUUGCUAUCCAGAAAACUUGAUGAAAUCUUUCUUGUUCUUAGUCUAUUAAACCGUUUCACUAUCAUCUGCAGCUCCU
rnacentral:lncRNA from 1 species